GAGUGGCGGACGGGUGAGUAACGCGUGGGAAUCUACCUUGUAGUGGGGGACAGCCCGGAGAAAUCCGGAUUAAUACCGCAUACUCUNUACGGGGCAAAGCGGGGGAUCUUCGGACCUCACGCUAUUGGAUGAGCCCGCGUUGGAUUAGCUUGUUGGUGGGGUAAAGGCUCACCAAGGCGACGAUCCAUAGCUGGUUUGAGAGGAUGAUCAGCCACACUGGGACUGAGACACGGCCCAGACUCCUACGGGAGGCAGCAGUGGGGAAUAUUGGACAAUGGGGGCAAGCCUGAUCCAGCAAUACCGCGUGUGUGAAGAAGGCCUUAGGGUUGUAAAGCACUUU
rnacentral:rRNA from 1 species